UACGAAGGGGGCUAGCGUUGUUCGGAAUUACUGGGCGUAAAGCGCACGUAGGCGGAUAUUUAAGUCAGGGGUGAAAUCCCGGGGCUCAACCCCGGAACUGCCUUUGAUACUGGGUAUCUAGAGUCCGGAAGAGGUGAGUGGAAUUCCGAGUGUAGAGGUGAAAUUCGUAGAUAUCCGGAGGAACACCGAUGGCGAAGGCAGCUUCCUGGUCCGUAUCUGACGCUGAGGUGCGAAAGCGUGGGGAGCGAACGGG
rnacentral:rRNA from 1 species